GCUCCGGUAGCCUAGUGGUUAGAGCUACCGCCUCAGAUGCGGGAGGUCAUGGCUACGAUCUCUGGUCGAAUCA